CGCAGAAACCACCCAAUCUCCUCUACCUCCUACAAGUUUUUUCAUCUCCCAGGGAUUCUCGGGUUGAGCACAUGGAGGAAGACAGAUGGAGAGGAGGACCCAAAGCUGUUAGUGUGGCUGAGCUCACCAUAGGCUCAGAACCCCAAAUGAAGACCUGGCCUGGAAGAUCCCAAGUGGACAACAAACUUACCCAUUCAAAAACUAGAAGACUCAGUCUGUCCAGAGAGUUCUGAAGCCAAAGGAACAAGAACAAUGAAAAAGAAAACAGAAUAUGGUCUCUGGGGAGCCUAGAAGAAGGGCAUGAAUGCUAAAACAGAAGUGGACAGUGAGGAAGGCUGGAGCCCUUGGGGGAAUACCUGCACUAAGACCCGAGGGGACCUUCCUCCUUAGAGGAACACUCAGAAAGUGCAAGCCAAGGGCUUGGCCACCCUCCUGGCUCCAGCACCUGCACUUAAGAAGAUAAGGAUUCUAAGUCAGGCGCCUUUAAUCCCAGCACU